UACGUAGGUGACAAGCGUUAUCCGGAUUCACUGGGUUUAAAGGGUGCGUAGGCGGGCAGAUAAGUCAGUUGUGAAAUCCCCGAGCUUAACUUGGGAACUGCCAUUGAUACUAUUUGUCUUGAAUGUCGUGGAGGUUAGCGGAAUAUGUCAUGUAGCGGUGAAAUGCUUAGAUAUGACAUAGAACACCCAUUGCGAAGGCAGCUAACUACGCGAAUAUUGACGCUGAGGCGCGAAAGCGUGGGGAUCAAACAGG
rnacentral:rRNA from 1 species